GUGCUUGCUUUGACAGUACAUAUACUAAAAAUAGGAAUAGUACAAAGAAUAUUACCAUCACCCCUACACAUGAAUGACGUGCAAAUCUGUGAAGCAUUCAAUAUUUUA